GUGUGCUGUCGGCUGCGAGAAAGUUUCCAGGUCCCACAGUGUUUGGUAGGCGCUGCCUUCGGCGCGCAGCACACGGGAAUGAAGAGCGCCCGACCUGUGCUGUGACUCUACGGCUUAGUGGGCGAGACCGACGGGAGGUGGAUGAGGUAGGAGGUGCCCAGUGUCUUCCUUGAGGAGUGUCGCGAGCAGAUCUUUUCUAGGGCUAUGGAGUCCAGAAUGGUGCGCGGCUCUUCCUCGUUUCUCAGCCCCGACCAGAGCUCCGGAGUUGGCUUACACCGUCCUGAGACUCCUCUAUUUGGGUGUCAGUUUGAGAUUGGAAGUUUGGUCCGGGUCUUCCUCCAGAUUGGCUGAGCCCUCAGUGCACGUCAGGAAGGUGUGAGAGACGCUACCUCUGAUCUGCCGAUCCGAUCGAUGUUGGAAAUGUCAUACACGUCCGCCACUGCCUCGGUGUCCACGCCACCCGUGCCACGCUUCUGGAGCCUGAGGUUCUCCAAGAUCUUAGAAAAACGUGGGUCCUAUGACGAGGGAUAAGACUUAAGUGUCCUGAGAAGCAAACACAGUCACCAGCACUGGUACAUUCACUGAGAAAGGACGGAUAAUGAAAAUAGUAGCUGUUAAUAUUUAUAAAGCAUUUGUUCACUACGCAGGAGGCUCUGUGCUGGGACUGAGAACCGCCUAUGCAGUAGGUGUUGCCUGCACUCCUGCCUUAGUCUGCUUUCUGUUGCUGUAACACCGCAGUGGAGACCAGGCAAUUUGUGAAGAAGGGAAGCUUAUCUGGUUCACACCUGGGAAGUCAACAGCCUAGUUCCAGUCUCUGGUGAGGAAGCCAGUAGGGCAUCCAUGGCAAGCCCGAGACACGUGCCAUCCCAGUCUGUCUUCUUCAGAGCCACUGAGGUCAUCGUGGGUCCAGAACCGCAUGACCUUACUACUACCCCCAGAGCUGCCACCUCCAGUACAUAGGCACAGGACCUUGGGGAUUACAUUUCUGUCGUGCACAUCUAAGGGACACAUGGCACCCUCAGCAACCUCCACUGCACAGAUGCAAGGAGCUUCAGAGGACUUCUGCUCAGAGUCACGCAGCUAGGACGUGGCAGCACUGGGACUGAACCUGUGUAGUCCUGACUCCAACUUUAUGCUCUUAACGUCCACAUAUUUUUUGCAUAGGGAUGCCAACUUCGAUAUGUUUGAUAUCACUCAUGUGUAUAUCACUUGUCACUGUUAUAAUUGAAAUCAAGAAGUUCAAUCACUUCACUUUCUAGGCACUGGAAUAACAAAACUUCUCAAACUAUCUUUGGGGGCAGGCAGCAUAUUUUCUAAAAUUGUUUUUAAAGUAUCUGAUUUGCCGGGUGUGGUGGCACAUCUCUAUAAUCCCAGGACUUGGGAGGCUGAGGGAGGAGGAUCACCAAAAGUUUGAGACCAGCCUGGACUACAUAGUGAAUUCAAGAACAGCCUGAGCUACAUAGCAAGACCCUGUCUCAAAAAAAAAUUUUUUUUUAAUUUACUUGGUAUACAGUGGCAGAAACUGCUAGUUACUCAGCAGAGUCCUCUACCUCUUCUUCCAGUGUUGGAGCUGAGGAAGCCCCUGCUCGCUGGCUACGUCUGUGCUCAUGGCGUGAGCAGGGGCUAUGAUAUGGUUGGUAGCUGGAUGUCCUCCCAGAGCCUCACACGCUCACUGCAGGGCUCUUGCAAGCUGAGUGGAUUGUGGGGGCCUAGAGCUGCCCUGCUGUUCGGAGCUGGGGCUGGAGGAACGAAGUGGGUCACUGGGCUGUUCUCCUCCCUGCUCUUUGCUUCCUGUCCCCCAUGCCGAGAGCAGCUCUCCUCCACCCGGCCCUCGCCCUUAGCCAGCAGGCUAUGAGCCAAACAAGCCUGUCUUCCUUUAAGUUAUGGGUGCCGGGUACUGUGUCUAGCAGCAAGAAAUGUGACCCAGACAGGACGUGUGCCACUUCCAGGCUGAGAUGUCCAUCUUGGCACGGCCACACUUGCCUGGACGCUGUCCCCUCCCACUCGCUAGGACAGGGGCCUGCUGUGACCAUGUAAAGGGGACUGUGCCCGAGACAGUGGUCCUCCAAGCUUGGUACCUCGAGUCCUAGCCUCAGCGUCACCGGAAUCUUUCAGAAAUGGCAAAUUCUGCAGUGGGGCGGGAUUUGCACUGACCACGCCCCAGGCCGCUCCUAAGCACACCUGACCCUGAGAACGAACUUCUGGGUUAAAGGAGACAGGGAGGCGGGAGGCACCUGCCAAGCUGAGCAGCCCGCUUGCUACCCUAGUGUCACCCGACGGAGCAGCCACUGUGUCUCUGUCACAGCUGCUGGCCGUUGACCCCAGUAGUACAGACAGCUUUUCUCUGACAGUGGAGAAACUAGGUCAAGGACCCCAGGGUGGCCCCGUCUGAGCCGUCCCGGGAUGGGGAGCCUACCGGUGGGCUCACAGUACCUUGCUGAGCUUCGGGAUCCGCACGUGGACACCGGCCCGCAGUCCGGUCCCCAGGUUGGACGGGCAGGUCAGGAUAUACCCCAGACGCUCGUUCCACAUGAACUCCCAGCCGCGCUCCUGGAUCAGCCGCUCCACCUGCAAGUGGGACAGCGCUGGACACACGGCAGGGUCCCCCAGUGCCCGUCCUCGCAGCUCGCCCACCCCGACCUGGGGCGGGAUGUGGGUGCCAUGCAUGAAGGCGAGGUGCAUUCACAGGACUUCAACAUAAAAAGAGGCACAUUAGAGUGGUCCAGUUAGAUGAGGCGAGCCUUGUAAAACACUGGACAGCAGGUACUGCCCUCUCAGUAAUGCCAUCUGAUGUUCACUGUUGCACCAGGACAGCAGGAGAGCACGGAUUCACAGCAGCUACGCCCACACCGGGGACGUUGGUACCACCUGGGUGCUGAGGACAGCGGGAGAAAACGCCCAGGAGCACCGAGGUCCCCACAGCACGUGUGUGGGAGAUGGGAGCCUCCCCUGGAGGAGUCGCCUGCUCUGAACCGUUGGGCUGGGAGCCCACUCCCCAGAGAGUGUCUUGGUCCAUGGAAGAAAGUAGCCCUGUCUUGCAAGUUACCAUAGUGGCUUUUUAUAGAAUAAAAAGCAGAGACGUCUUA